CAUCGCCACAGCCACACCGUCAAACAUGAACAGCUUCGUCGUGCGUGCGGUGGCGGCGGCGGCGGCUCUGCUGCUGGUGCUGGCUUCACUGGCGUCGGCGGCCCCUGCGGCCGUAGCUGCGGGGGCGGCGGGGGCGGCGGGGGCGUCGCAGCGCGAGGCGCUGCAGCCGGCCGAGACGCUGUACUACUCUGCUUUCGGCAGCGUCGUGCCCGGCAUCUACCCCGGCGCCGUCUCCUACCUGGGCUGAGCGCUGCCACCCACACCGCCACACCCACUCCGGCCCGGCGCCGUCCACGGACUAUCCUAGCUCCAACCAGCCAUGUCAUUCUAAAUAGGCAAUAAAGCAGCACUUUCAAAAAUA